GGCCUUAUGGUUGUAAAGCACUUUAAGCGAGGAGGAGGCUACUUUAGUUAAUACCUAGAGAUAGUGGACGUUACUCGCAGAAUAAGCACCGGCUAACUCUGUGCCAGCAGCCGCGGUAAUACAGAGGGUGCGAGCGUUAAUCGGAUUUACUGGGCGUAAAGCGUGCGUAGGCGGCUUAUUAAGUCGGAUGUGAAAUCCCCGAGCUUAACUUGGGAAUUGCAUUCGAUACUGGUGAGCUAGAGUAUGGGAGAGGAUGGUAGAAUUCCAGGUGUAGCGGUGAAAUGCGUAGAGAUCUGGAGGAAUACCGAUGGCGAAGGCAGCCAUCUGGCCUAAUACUGACGCUGAGGUACGAAAGCAUGGGGAGCAAACAGGAUUAGAUACCCUGGUAGUCCAUGCCGUAAACGAUGUCUACUAGCCGUUGGGGCCUUUGAGGCUUUAGUGGCGCAGCUAACGCGAUAAGUAGACCGCCUGGGGAGUACGGUCGCAAGACUAAAACUCAAAUGAAUUGACGGGGGCCCGCACAAGCGGUGGAGCAUGUGGUUUAAUUCGAUGCAACGCGAAGAACCUUACCUGGCCUUGACAUACUAGAAACUUUCCAGAGAUGGAUUGGU
rnacentral:rRNA from 1 species